AUGGAAAAACUUCUCAGCCACUCAAGUAUCCAGAGAGGGCGAGGUAUCUUCUGUCUCUUCGUGAAGGUUCCAGACAGCCCUGUUUUGGGGAUGAUUACUGUUCCAGUGCAAAGGGCUGCCCUCACAACAGAUGAAGUCAAAAUCUCAAGACUACGUCUCAUUGGUAUGACACAAGUCACAUGUCUGUUCCCAAACCUCUCACAGUGCUUGGGAGAAAAAUAUGCUGAUUAGCGAGGUCUUAGGGGAAUCUUUCUCCACCUCUGAACCCUGUGGACUGGGAGUGAGGAAGAGGAGUUUCCUAAAGACAAGCCUAGGUGAAUUCAUUAGAGGAAUCACAGAUAGAAGCACAGUUACCCACCACUCAUAGGUGCUGGAGAAGUCUGUUUCUCUUCCUAACCUGGGAGUCCUUGGGGGCAGGAAGUUGGGAGAUUCUUCCUGAAGCUACACAUGUAAAAAAUGGGUAGAGGAGUUCCCUGCGUGGCCCAGCAAUUAACAAACCCAACUAAGAUCCAUGAGGAUGUAGGUUCGAUCCCUGGCCUCGCUCAAUGGGUUAAGGAUCUGGCAUUGCCAUGAGCUGUGGUGUGGGUCACAGACACGGCUCGGAUCCUGCAUUGCUCUGUCUGUGGUGCAGGCCGGCAGCCAUAGCUCCAGUUUAGCCCCUAGCCUGGGAACUUCCAUAUGCAUCCGGUGCAGCUUUAAAAAAAAAAAAAAAAAGCAAAAGGGGGGCAGGGGGCAGAAAAAAGAAACCUUCCAGGGACUAGAGCGUCCUUCCUUUCUCAACUGUUUAUUAAACUGUAAGCAUUGGAAGGACAGGGAUGAACACACACAGACAGGCUCCCUGCCUGCCCUGGGGCUCACGGUCUUGUUGGGGAGGCAGAGAGUGAUGGGCGUCUACUAAUCUUUGUAGGAACAGAGAUUCUUCUCUGCAGCUGAGAACACUCGACAUGAUCAGAGAGUAGUACAGUAACCCUCACAUCUUCCUCAUAAAACCCUUCUAGGAGUUCCUAUCGUGGCUCAGCGGUUAACAAACCUGACUAGGAUCCAUGAGGACGUGGGUUCGAUCCCUGGCCUCAUUCAGUGGGUUAAGGAUCUGGCAUUGCUGUGAGCUGUGGUGUAGGUCGCAGACAUGGCUUAGACCUGGCGUGGCUGUGGCUGUGGCAGAGGCUGGCAGCUGUGGCUCUGAUUUGACCCCUAGCCUGGGAACUUCUAUAUGUCUCACCUGCGGCCCUAAAAAAAUAAAUAAAUAAACCCCUUUAAAACA
rnacentral:lncRNA from 1 species